CUUAUUUUAUUGUUCACUAUCUCCCAUAAGUUUCCAAUGGAGGUUAGAUCGGGAAAUUGAGGUGGCCAGUUCAUAACAUUAAUUUUUUCACAUAAAAGUCACUGCUUCAAAUAUUUUGAAAUGUGCUUCGGGUCACUAUCUUGUUGAAAAUAAAGUUUUAGUGGCAUAUUUUUAUCUGAAUACGGUACCAUGGGGUCCAUAUCGUUCGCUAAAUUCUCGACUUCAAACGAAUAAAUGCGAAGGCAUCCGAAAGCCGACCGCGCCAUGCCUCCGGGCGUUCAGCGGCUCGAGGGAUUUGGACCGGGGCUAUCGACUAAAAACUGCGUCUCCAGUAUAGCAAACCGUAGAAUAUACAAAUUUAUCUUGGUAACUCUGGUGGAAAUGAGACUUAUAGUCAUCUUCGAGUACAUAACAAAAAUUAAGUAUUGUUUAUGUCAACAAAGGAAGAAUCUUCGUUAAAUUGAUGACACGGUUUAUGAAGUUUUUUAAAUAAUAAUAAUAAUUUUAAUAAAGAAAUAUUGAACUUGAA